rnacentral:lncRNA from 12 species
CUGAUCCUAAACCUGACCCCAAUCCCAGCCAGGUGAGCCCGACCCCACACCUGGGCAGGUGAGCCCUGACCCCACACCUGGGCAGGUGAGCUCUGAUCCAAAUCCUGACCCUGAUCCCGAUCCCAGACAGGUGAGCCCUGAUCUCACACCUGGGCAGGUGAGGCUGACCCUGACUCUCAUCCCGAUCCUGUCCCCACACCUGGGCAGGUGAGCCCUGACUCCCCUCAGCUGGGGGAGAACCAUGUGACCCCCCCAGGUGUGAUCCAGGUAUCCCAGUCCCCCCCAGGUGUGACCCAGGUGUGACCCAGGUGUGACCCAGGUGUGACCCAGGUAUCCCAAUCUGCCCCCAGGUGUGACCCAGGUGUGCUCCAGGUAUCCCAGUCCCCCCCAGGUGUGAUCCAGGUGUGACCCAGGUGUGACCCAGUUGUGACCCAGGUAUCCCAACCCCCCCCCCCCCCCCCCCCCCCCCCCCCCCCCCCCCCCCC